rnacentral:lncRNA from 1 species
UGUGGAUCGGGUUAAGGUAAACUUUAAAUCAUUUGUGUUUUGUGCAGACUCCCAAAAUAGACACACAAUUGAAGGAAGAUGAGGUUAGGGUUUUCCUGUGGUCCAAUUCUAUGUUAAAAAUCACAGGAAAGUAAGCUGCUCUGCAAUUCAUUUCAGCUUUUCUUUUUUAUGGUUUAAGGUUAUACAUUUACAGUUAUAAAUGUAUCAACCUUAUAACUGCUGAUUAAGGAUAUCACAGAAUUAAAUAUUAAUACAGUAUCUUAUUUCCCUUUUGAUAUGUAAAUAUAUUAAACUCAAAGAACUGAGGUAUAUGAUUUCAGAGUUUUAUUAUUACAUGGUAAUAAAAGUGCUGAUGUCAACAUUCAAUCAGCAUAGCUAAAGCUGCUGUUUGAUUAAAUAUUUUGAAGC